AUGCGAUAAUAGAAGAAGGCGUUCAUCCGACAAAAAUCUUAUUGCGAGGCACUCACAGACCCCUGGAGCGUUAUGAAAAAAAUGGUUGAAUAGCUAAUAUCAACGUUGUGUUCUACGCUCUGCCGUUGUGCACAUCGUAUCGAAACGACUCGCGUUUUGACAAAGUGGAUUUCCACGAGGUGGUAUCCUCUUCCCGAGAAAGGCAAGGGACACACAAAGGUGCAAAGGAGUCGUGAGAGCUACCAAAAUCCCCGGGCUUCCGUGGGAAGAGUGUCCGGCGCGGGCGACGGUGGCUGCCGCCAUAAACUUCGCCGCUCUCGCAUUAGUAUAUCAUCAGCCGUAUCCCGAUCGUAAAAGCGUAAUAAGAGAGGAAAAAGGGGAAAGAAAAAAAGAAGAAUAAUCGUUCGUCGAUAGGAACUUUGUAAGCUCUCUCUUUCUGACUUUUAUUACGAUAUAUUACCGAAUAUACAUCGCUUUAAUCGACAAUUUAAAAUUUAGCCGUUCCUAGAGAUUACUCUAAUUUGACGCGAUUGAAAAUGAGAUAGACGAACAUGAAAAAAAAAAAGGAAAAUGUAAAACGCUCCGUCAUUUUAACUGCGCGGUUUUCGAUUUUCUGUAACUCCGACGUUUCUACGCGCAUCUCUUCAAUUCUUAAUCCGAAAUUUUACGGUAAAUACCGACGUAUGCUUUUCUUUCGUAAUUCAUCCAUCGAUCGCCACGUGGUCUCAUCGCGUGUCUCUGGCUACUUGUCAGAAUGGAACGAAUGUACAAAAUACAACCGUGUAAUAUUGUGUUGAGACGUCGCUCGUCGUCGUGCUCGAUGGAGGAAAAGGUGACGUACGUACGGCGUACGUCUCGACUUCAACGUGAUCGAGAGCUCCUCACGUUGACGUCCAUCGCGAUGCUCGGCGAGAAUAUUGCUAGCGUUAACAGUUGGUUCAUAGCAAAGUCCUGUGUGCCUGACAACAAUCUAUUAUUAUCUAACGAGAGAGGAGAUGGAGGGACAGGGCGAAGGCUAAGAUUCUUCUCCGACAACCUUUCGAUUUAUUCGGAUAAAUGAAAAAAUUAUGUUCUCUCUCAUGAAAUGGAUAAAGCCUCCUUCGCGCAAAGUUGACGGG